UGGUCCCGGCGGUUCGAUGAAGCGCCGGCGCCGGCUUGAGAGCAGGGGAGCGAGAAUGCGGGUGUAGACCUGCCUUAACGCCCCCACAGCCUGCGUGCGCUGUCUUCCCGCCCCGUCAGAUCACGGGGUGGGAGGUGUGGACGCAGGUGCAUGCCCCCCUCCCUUUUGCCCGGCGGUGCCUGCUUCCUCCGGGCCACCCUCCCGCCCUCGGCCCUGCGGGCACUGCCUCUGUCCCCGUCACUCCCCGUCGCCCAGCACCUGCGCGGCUGCAGGGAGCCUCGCCCUCUCGGGGGCCUCCGGAGCUGGCGGGAUCGCCAGCACAGCCUUCGCUCGGGCCGCAGCUGCUGCCCGGAAAAUCCGGCUUUGUCCACACUGCCACCCCACUGGUGCCUUCCAAUAGCCAGCCCGAGGAUCAAAGCUCGGAUCCAGUCUGUUGCUUCUGUUACCACACACGUGACAGACUGGCCUCCUCUGGGUGUUCCUCUGCUACAAUCUGUGUGGCCUGUCGAGGACUUUUCUGAGCAAGUGAACGAGAAAACACUUCCCCUGUAAGUGGCACCAGAAUGUUCCUGUGGUUGAAGAACCAUCCCCAGGCCCCGGCCCCAGGCCACGCUGUUCCGUCCUGUGUCCUGGGGCCUGUCCUGCUCGCUUUCAUCCGGCAGAUAAGCAGCGGCCUCGGAGGCUGGCCCGCAGGAAGGGGAGGAAGAGGCCUGCUUCUGAGUCAUCCUGUUAUCACAGCGUUUGAACGAGGGGACAGCACGAAAUCCUUUCUCGUGCUCGAGGCUUCCUGUCGGCGUUUGCUGGAGUUUCGGCUCUUUUUUUGGCUGGAGAAAAGUUGCUGUUUUUGUCCUGCUUCCUGUGGCUCUUCAUAAACCGAAAGGACGUGCUCCAGGUUCAGGGCCAGUGACCCUGGUUUAAGGGGAAAAGAACGCGCUUGGGCUCCGUCGGGGCAGGGCCGAGGGCCUGCCCUGGGCCUGCAG
rnacentral:lncRNA from 1 species